CAGGGUUUCCCCUGAUGCUGCCAUCAAGGUGUGGGGCUGGGCUGCACCAUCUGAAGGCCUGAUGGGGGCCGGGAGACCUCCUUCCAAGGUGGCUGGAGGCCUCGGUCCUCGACACAGGGGACCUCUCCACGGGACCACUCCCGACAUGGCUCCCAAGGUCCCCCCAGAGCUGGUGAUCCAAGAGGAAGAGCAAUGGGGUGGCCACAAUGCCUUGGUGACUGUCUCGCAAGUGACACAUGGUCCUUCCCACUGUUUUCUAUUUGCUGGAAGUGAAUCACUCAUUCCGGCCCACCCUCGGUGAGAGGGGAAUUAGGAGGUGGAGGGUGUGGACGAAUUAGUGGACGUGUCUUCAAGCCACCACAGCCAGCCGGGACUGGAAACAGCUGAGCGUGGCCAGCCUGUGUCCGCUGGGGCUUCGUGGAGGCUUCCAGCAAGGGGGUACAGCCGAGCUGCUCCGGAAGAAGGCAGGGGCCCACAGGGGUGUGGGUGAGGGCACGUCGCCAGCUGGGCCAGAGCACACGAGUGCCUGGGAAGCCCCCCGAGGCCAGGCUCACCGGGACGCCCCUGCUGCCGGACAGACGAAGAUUCUCAGGAACACAGAUGGGGUGAGAGAGGCCUGCCUGCCACCCUCCACCUGGCCCCCCGGCCCCGUGAGGGGUACACCCCGGGGGGACGCCUGGCUCCCAGCCAGCCCCUCAUGCUUCCCGCCACGUGGCAUAGAAGUCAGGCUCCCAAGGGGGCUGAGGACAGAGACUCCGAAGGACAGGACCGUCUCUCAGGAGGACAGAGCCCGAAGCUGCAGGUGCGGGGGAGAAGGGGACAAAGGAGGGACUGUCCACGGGCAGCUGCCCGGGAAGACGCUGCCUGGCUGGGCGGCCGUGACAGGCGGAGAAGCCGGGGGGAAGGAGGGACACAGAGGUCGCACAAGGCCCUCCCCGCUGCGAGAGGUUCUGGAACAGGGAGACUCCGGGCCCAGGACUCCUGCAGGACGGCAGGGCUCCGGGACGCCCGACGCCGAGGGUAUCUGUAGCUUCCCGGCCUGUCCUGCACCUGCGCUCCGGGGCCCGGCCUGCCGCGUCCGUGACCGGCCAACCCGCCUGUGGGCUCAGAGCAGGUCAUCCCGCCCCCUGCCGCGGCCUCCCGUGGUGCCAACCCCAGCUCACCCGCCACCCAGCCCAGCGCCCUCGUGGGGACACACUGCCCUCCUCCGGCCACUGCCCUCGGGUGCCUGCUCACACGGCCCUCUGGCCUAGGACAACGGUCUGCUCACCGGCCCCGGGACAGCGUGCCACCCCAGGGAGGCCAGCCCGGGCCAGCCCACGCAGUGCCGGGUCUGCACACCUGCUGGGUGCCUCCGGCCCUCUGUCCUGCGGGAGGGCCCCUGCACCACCCCUCGGGCCUCCAGGCCCUCCAGCACCCUCGGGCCUCCAGGCCCCGGCACCCUCGGGCAGGCCCCUGCAGGCUCUAUUUUUACACUUGAAGCAUUUGCCGGGCGUCUAUUUAUAUCGUUCCCAUCUUGAGUUUCCGGUCAGGUCAUCUCCUAACCUGGCCGAGCCUCCCUCCCUCUGGGCUCAGGUCUCUGGACCACUCCCAGGCCAAGGGGUGGGGGGGUGCCCCGUGCAGGAGAAGCCCGCAGCUCACCGAGAGGUGCCCCAGGACACCGCCAGUGUUCCCGAAGCGCGAUGGAGAUGGUCCAGGGGCCCAGAGCGGGCACGAGGGCCCAGGCCGGCUCCAGAGUGGGCAGCCCGGGCAUUUCCAGUAAAUGGGGCUCCAUUCAGGAAACGAAACAGAAGAGACACAGAAACCGACAGCUGACGUCAUAAUGCAGCUCCAAAAUAUGGGCAUCGCGUCCUCGUUUACUUGGCCAGGACUUCCUCGUUUUCACUUUCUGGUCUCUUCCGAACUGCCACCGGAGCCCCUGGAGGUCAGGGUUCAUGCCACCUGCCCCAAGCAUGGCAUUAACUUCAAGGCACGUGCAUUCUCCUAAAAAAAAAAAAAUUAAAUAAAAAAUAUGUAAGGCAAGGCGCCUGGGUGGCACAGUCGGUUAAGUGAUUAAGCAAGCAUCCCACUCUUGGUUUCGGCUCAGGUCGUGAUCCCAGAGUCAUGCCCUGCAUCGGGCUUCACACUCAGCGCAGUCAGAGCCUGCUUGAGAUUCUCGCCCUCUCCUUCUGUCCCUCCCCCUGCUUGUGCUAACAAAAUAAAUAAAUUCCUUGUCCAAUGUUCUCAACUUUCUGAUUUACUGCCCUGUUAAGGUACUCGACUUUGUUCUCAAACCUCCAAAACCAGGGGUAGAUGCUGCAGGCAUUUUGCUUUGCUCCCUGAGGCACUGGCUCCCAGGGAACAACUUGUUCCUAGGGGUGAGUCACCUGGAUAUAGUCUAAUUGUCAUGCUUGGGAGGCCUCCAGCUAGGGGAGUGCUCCCAUAGCCAAUUCCUGCCCGUUUUGGGUCUGGGCUUCUCCUGGGGCCUACAUGCUAUUGCUUUUCUGGUUCCUUGAGGUCAGAGGCUGACGAUAUUCAAACCCAGGCCUCCAGACCCCUAGUUCAGGGCCCACCAGCCAUCACGAGCACUGGACUAAGAGUCAGCAGACCUGGGUUUGGGUCUCUGCUUAAUGAAUGUUCUAUCUAGAGUCUAAGAAGAAUGAAAGGAAACCAUACAUUGCCAUUGGACUCCUGGUGGCCUGUGUAUCACCACGGGCCACUGCUUACACACACCUCACAUAUCCCCUAGUACCAGAACAGAGUAUUAAAACCUUGGAUACAGGGGCACCUGGGCGGCUCAGUCGGUUUAGCAUCUGCCUUCGCCUCAGUCAUGAUCUCAGGCUCAGGGUCCUGAGAUCCCAUGGUGUGGGGCUCCCUGCUCAGCAGGGUGUCUGCUUCUCCCUCUCCCUCUGCGCCUCCCCACUUGUGCUCUACCCUGUCUAAUAAAUAAAAUUUUUAAAAUUUAUUCAUUCAUGAGACACAGAGAGAGAGAGAGAGAGGCAGAGACACAGGCAGAGGGAGGAGCAGACUCCCUGCAGGGAGCCCGACUGGGACUCCAUCCCGGGACUCCGGGAUCCCGCCCUGAGCCGAAGGCAGGCGCUCAACCGCUGAGCCCCCCGGCGCCCUUAAUAAAUAAAAAUCUUAAAACAAAAAGAAAAACAAAAAGCCUUGGGAACGGAUCCAUUGUCAUCCCCGUGCUGGCUUCAGAACCGGUCCGAUG
rnacentral:lncRNA from 1 species